rnacentral:rRNA from 1 species
GACGAACGCUGGCGGCGUGCUUAACACAUGCAAGUCGAACGCUGAAGCUUGGUGCUUGCGCUGGGUGGAUGAGUGGCGAACGGGUGAGUAAUACGUGAGUAACCUGCCCUUGACUCUGGGAUAAGCCUGGGAAACUGGGUCUAAUACUGGAUACGACAUGUCACCGCAUGGUGGUGUGUGGAAAGGGAUUUACUGGUUUUGGAUGGGCUCACGGCCUAUCAGCUUGUUGGUGGGGUAAUGGCUCACCAAGGCGACGACGGGUAGCCGGCCUGAGAGGGUGACCGGCCACACUGGGACUGAGACACGGCCCAGACUCCUACGGGAGGCAGCAGUGGGGAAUAUUGCACAAUGGGCGGAAGCCUGAUGCAGCGACGCCGCGUGUGGGAUGACGGCCUUCGGGUUGUAAACCUCUUUCAGCACGGAAGAAGCGAAAGUGACGGUACGUGCAGAAGAAGCGCCGGCUAACUACGUG